GCCAAAGUAACUUUGAACUGAGUUCAGUCAAUCUCGAGUUUUUCGAAGUUUUCUGAAUGAAGUUUUCUGUUGCUCUCUGUGAGAGAAGACCGUUAAAGGCGAGGCUCUCCAGAGUGUAGCAAAACAGGAAACCACAGCUGUGUGUGCGUAAGUGUGCAAACGAAUAGAUUAGAAGUGCAAGUGAGCCACGAGUAUAGAAAGAUCAAGUUUCGUGAGUUGUUUUUCUCACCACUGAUCACGCGCUCAACACUCUACACAUACUUGUAUCACUUAUGGCAAGCCAUCAGUGCCAAAAAUCGCCACUUUUCUAACGCGUUUGGUUAAGAAAUGGCGUAAAAAACGCCGUUUAAUUUUUCAAAACGCCGAAAAAAACGGCGUUCUGUUUCGACAAACGCUGUUUUUUCCGACUCUCACAUGGCGCCCUGAACGCACCAUCCGAGUGACGUAAAAAGCGGCGUUCAAAGACACACGGAAACGCCGUUUUUUACGCCACUCGGCAGGAAACGCCGUUCAAAGAUGCAUAAAAACAGCGGUUUUUACGGCGUUCUGUGCCAGCUGUAACGGCGUUUAAAACGGCGUUUUAUUGAAAUUAUGCAGGGCACUCCCCAUGGUUCCCUCAUCCAAUUACUUUCAACUCAUUUCACCCAAUCAAAGAAGAGGAAGUGCAGACCACACUAAUGCAUCACCGAUUCACCUUGCUGCUAAGUGAUUGCUUAUUCGGUACCAGUGCUUGUUACCCACUAUGCAUUUUGAUGUGUUUAAAGCAUGAUCAAACAAGCAAACGACGGAAUGCUUUUACUGUAACAAGACCUUAACUUUGUGGCGCAUGGGUCGCUUGUUUACUUGAGGGAUCAGCUAUUAGCGCUGCGCUACCGCAGUGUAGCAUUAUGAUGCUAACGGAGUCCUGGCUAACACCGCAAACUCCGGACAUGAGUGUGGAGCUGCCGGUUUCCAGAUGCUGCGGGCGGACAGGACGAUAGACAGCGGUGAGAGGAAAGGAGGGGGGCUGGCAGUGUUUGUUAAAGACAGUUGUGGGACCCCUGGGCACAUUGCUGUGAAAGAUCAACUCUGCAACACAGACAUUGAGCUAUUAGCCGUUAGCAUCCGUGGAGGCAGCCUGUGGCACUCUGUGGUCCGCAGACUGCAAACGCAAUCUCCGGGAGCUCUUCUUCUAAUAUCAGGGGACUUUAAUCAUGUCUCGCUGGACUCCACACUGCCCACCUUCACCCAGUAUGUGACCUGCCCCAUCGUAGUCAAUAAAACAUUGUACUUAAUGUAUGCCAAUGGAAAAAGUGGCAUACAGUUCAUCACCUCCCUGCCCAGGGAAGAUCUGAUCAUAACCUAGUGUGCCUUGUCCCUGUGUGCAGCACUUAGUGUGCACGGAGCCACUAAUCACCCACGCAGUGCAGAGAUGCUUCGCGGAGGGCAUAAUCAAGCAAAUAAAUGACAGAAUGCUUUUUAUUUCAUGUCGACGUGCAAUUUAUGUAUAGUUGACCGGGAAAUUAAAGCAGCGAUCACUUGGACUAUUCCGUAGCACCCCUUUCACAGUGGUACAUCCCUCCAGGUAACCAUUCACCAGUCUUGUACAGUAGAGCGGGACAUUACGUUUACUCUCAGCGGAAUUCACCCGAGAAGGCAUCAGUUCCUGCACUGGUCUUCACCACGAUUAGUAUAAGGUGGAGUAAUGCACGAAUGGAUAAAAAGGAGUGAGAGGUUAUCAGCUGUUGAGGAGCAAAUGGAGAUCCGUGUCCAGGGGAGUGAGGCUAUUAUGCGAGUGUGAAAGGUUGUCCAGGAAGUAACUAAGAAGACAUGAACAGAGAGGUGGUGAUCCUCGGUGGAGUGAUGAAGUAGAGCAGCCAGCACCCCGAGUAGAGCAGGCACUGUGGAAAA